rnacentral:rRNA from 1 species
UACGUAGGGUGCAAGCGUUAAUCGGAAUUACUGGGCGUAAAGCGUGCGCAGGCGGUUAUGUAAGACAGAUGUGAAAUGCCCGGGCUUAACCUGGGAACUGCGUCUGAUACUGGAAGGCUUGAGUAUGGGAGAGGGAUGUAGAAUUCCAGGUGUAGCGGUGAAAUGCGUAGAUAUCUGGAGGAAUACCGGUGGCAAGGCGGCAUCCUGGACCAUUACUGACGCUGAGGCGCGAAAGCUAGGGGAGCAAACGGG